AACGAACGCUGGCGGCAUGCCUAACACAUGCAAGUCGAACGAGACCUUCGGGUCUAGUGGCGCACGGGUGCGUAACGCGUGGGAACCUGCCUUUAGGUUCGGAAUAACUCAGAGAAAUUUGAGCUAAUACCGGAUAAUGUCUUCGGACCAAAGAUUUAUCGCCUUUAGAUGGGCCCGCGUUGGAUUAGCUAGUUGGUGGGGUAAAGGCCUACCAAGGCGACGAUCCAUAGCUGGUCUGAGAGGAUGAUCAGCCACGCUGGGACUGAGACACGGCCCAGACUCCUACGGGGGGCAGCAGUGGGGAAUAUUGGACAAUGGGCGAAAGCCUGAUCCAGCAAUGCCGCGUGAGUGAUGAAGGCCUUAGGGUUGUAAAGCUCUUUUUACCCGGGAUGAUAAUGACAGUACCGGGAGAAUAAGCCCCGGCUAACUCCGUGCCAGCAGCCGCGGUAAU
rnacentral:rRNA from 1 species